CGCUCCCUCCGCCCAGCCUCAGCUCCGCUUUCGAGGAUUCUCACGCCAGCCUGGAAUAUUUUAUUGCCCGGAUAAUUCCCUUUAUAAACCUUUAUAAACGGGCUGGUGGCAUUCAGCUCCUCCUCACCCAAACUGAGUCCCCAGGGCGGGGAUGAAACCAAAAAUCCUCGUGGGACGCGGCUCUGCAGACAAACACGCGGCUAAAAAUAUCCCGGUGCAGCUUUCCUCCUCCUCAGACACUCACAGCUCCAGCUCCUCGGGGUAACCAGACACAUUUCUGAAAUAUCAGCACGCAGGGAGUGGUUCCUGACCAGCAAAAACUGAAUAAAUAUUGGUUUAGCGCCGCUGAAUUUGAAUAGAAAGAGCCUUCCCCAGCCCUUCAGAGCAGCGAUUUCCACACAGCCAACACUCCCACGUGGUGGAUAUUCCGCUAAAAAUGUUAUUUCGGGACAAACUGUGGCCGUGUGGUUUCCCCAGACCUCUUUUGGUGCAUGCAGAGCGGAGGAAAGGCGGUGUUUGCACGCCCAGGGAGCUCCAAGUUUAUCAUUUUCCCUGGAAUUUUGUGGGUUUUCCACACAAACCUCCCGUCCCCUCGUUGCUCCUGGAGCAUUACGAAACCUGGCCCGGAGCCUGCAGAUUUCCACCCGGUGUCAAUGAGCUGUUCCAAGAAAAAAGAGGCUGCGAAGAGUUUCCUGACAAACUCUGGGAAAAUUUCACACCGAGGCCGUGGGGAAGGGCCGGGACACGGCCGGGAAUGGGCACUGCCACCUCCCCGGCCCCUCGGAACAAACCGGGAAUGUUUUCCCACCUCUAAGAGAAAGAAGAGAAGGUUCAGGCUGUCACAAAAGCCUGGAUGGGAUGCUCGGCUGGGAGGGGAGGCUCUGGCUGACUCCAGGUGCGUUCCCAGCUCUCUGGUUUUUUGGGAUGACACCGGGAAUGUCCCCGAUUCUGAUGAUGCACUGAAAGCACUCCCCAGGGACAUUCACAACAAUUCACAUUUAACACCAGGGAAUGGCUCCGUGUCCGUGUGGGAGAGGCUGUGGAAGGACGAUAAGAUGAGGGGAGCAUCACCGGGGUAGAUGCUUGAUUUUUGUAUUGAUUACUGAUUAUUGAUUACAUUAUUGAGUAGGAUUAUUCCGAAUUGUAGCCUUCAUCUCUCCAGGGCAGGUGAGUUGGGAAUGGUGGUGAGGAUCGACAUCUCUGCCCCUGGAUUUGAGGAUUUGUGUGCUCCACUCCAAGGAUCCUUCAUUCCCCCAGGAGCAUCCCUGUCCCUGGCAGCCCCCAUCCAUGAAAAGCCCUCGAGAGGGAGCCGGGAUGAAGCUGAGCUUUGCAGACUCGGGAGGAAGCAGCAAUGUUUACCAGCUGCUAGGCAAGGAUGGGAUUCUUUCCAGGGAAAAAAGAAAAACAAACCCGGAGGAAGGUGAGGCACGUGUUCGGGUCAGGUACUCAGUCACCAGCACUUCCUGCCUGGUGACAUUCCUGCUUUGGGAACUGCCUUUGGGAACCGUCUGGGCUUAAAUAA